rnacentral:rRNA from 1 species
UACGAGGGGGGCAAAUGUUGUUCGGAAUCACUGGGCGUAAAGGGAGCGUAGGCGGGCUUCUAAGUUAGGUGUUUAAUCCCAGGGCCCAACCCUGGUCAGGCACCUAAAACUGGGAGUCUUGAAUAGUGGAGAGGACGAUGGAAUUGGGGGUGUAGCGGUGAAAUGCGUAGAUAUCUGGAGGAACACCGGUGGCGAAGGCGGCAUUCUGGACUGCAACUGACACUGAAAGACGAAAGCCAGGGGAGCAAACGGG